rnacentral:rRNA from 1 species
AUUGAACGCUGGCGGCAGGCCUAACACAUGCAAGUCGAGCGGAGCGGCGGACGGGUGAGUAAUGCCUAGGAAUCUGCCUGGUAGUGGGGGAUAACGUCCGGAAACGGGCGCUAAUACCGCAUACUAUCAGAUGAGCCUAGGUCGGAUUAGCUAGGUGGUGGGGUAAAGGCCUACCAAGGCGACGAUCCUUAACUGGUCUGAGAGGAUGAUCAGUCAAACUGGAACUGAGACAAGGGCCAGACUCCUACGGGAGGGAGGAGGGGGGAAUAUUGGACAAGGGGCGAAAGCCUGAUCCAGCCAUGCCGCGUGGGGGGAGAAGGUUUUCGGAUUGGAAAGCACUUUAAGUUGGGAGGCGUUACCAACAGAAUAAGCACCGGCUAACUUCGUGCCAGCAGCCGCGGUAAUUC